rnacentral:rRNA from 1 species
CCUACGGGGGGCAGCAGUGGGGAAUAUUGGACAAUGGGGGCAACCCUGAUCCAGCCAUGCCGCGUGUGUGAAGAAGGCCCUCGGGUUGUAAAGCACUUUCAGUGAGGAAGAACGCCUGGUGGUUAAUACCCAUCAGGAAAGACAUCACUCACAGAAGAAGCACCGGCUAACUCCGUGCCAGCAGCCGCGGUAAUACGGAGGGUGCGAGCGUUAAUCGGAAUUACUGGGCGUAAAGCGCGCGUAGGUGGCUUGAUAAGCCGGUUGUGAAAGCCCCGGGCUCAACCUGGGAACGGCAUCCGGAACUGUCAAGCUAGAGUGCAGGAGAGGAAGGUAGAAUUCCCGGUGUAGCGGUGAAAUGCGUAGAGAUCGGGAGAAAUACCAGUGGCGAAGGCGGCCUUCUGGACUGACACUGACACUGAGGUGCGAAAGCGUGGGUAGCAAACAGGAUUAGAUACCCCAGUAGUC